rnacentral:rRNA from 1 species
AGCUUGCAGUCGAGAUCAUUGCGCAAUGGGCGAAGCCUGACUGAUGCGACGCCGUGUGAGCGAUGACGGCCUUACGGGUUGUAAAGCUCUUUCGCCUGGGAACAAGAGAUGAAUGGACUAACAUCGCAGUAAAUUUGAGGGUACCAGGUAAAGAAGCACCGGCUAACUCCA